rnacentral:rRNA from 1 species
AGUGAACGCUGGCGGUAGGCCUAACACAUGCAAGUCGAACGGCAGCACGGGAGAGCUUGCUCUCUAGGUGGCGAGUGGCGGACGGGUGAGGAAUACAUCGGAAUCUGCCCAGUCGUGGGGGAUAACGUAGGGAAACUUACGCUAAUACCGCAUACGACCUGCGGGUGAAAGAGGGGGAUCGCAAGACCUCUCGCGAUUGGAUGAGCCGAUGUCGGAUUAGCUAGUUAGCGGGGUAAUGGCCCACCAAGGCGACGAUCCGUAGCUGGUCUGAGAGGAUGAUCAGCCACACUGGAACUGAGACACGGUCCAGACUCCUACGGGAGGCAGCAGUGGGGAAUAUUGGACAAUGGGCGCAAGCCUGAUCCAGCCAUACCGCGUGGGUGAAGAAGGCCUUCGGGUUGUAAAGCCCUUUUGUUGGGAAAGAAAUCUUUCAGGCUAAUACCCUGUGAGGAUGACGGUACCCAAAGAAUAAGCACCGGCUAACUUCGUG